rnacentral:rRNA from 1 species
GAUGAACGCUGGCGGCGUGCCUAAUACAUGCAAGUCGAGCGAACAGACGAGGAGCUUGCUCCUCUGACGUUAGCGGCGGACGGGUGAGUAACACGUGGAUAACCUACCUAUAAGACUGGGAUAACUUCGGGAAACCGGAGCUAAUACCGGAUAAUAUAUUGAACCGCAUGGUUCAAUAGUGAAAGACGGUUUUGCUGUCACUUAUAGAUGGAUCCGCGCCGCAUUAGCUAGUUGGUAAGGUAACGGCUUACCAAGGCAACGAUGCGUAGCCGACCUGAGAGGGUGAUCGGCCACACGGGAACUGAGACACGGUCCAGACUCCUACGGGAGGCAGCAGUAGGGAAUCUUCCGCAAUGGGCGAAAGCCUGACGGAGCAACGCCGCGGGAGUGAUGAAGGUCUUCGGAUCGUAAAACUCUGUUAUUAGGGAAGAACAAAUGGGUAAGUAACUAUGCACGUCUUGACGGUACCUAAUCAGAAAGCCACGGCUAACUACGU